AACGCACCUUGCGCCCUUUGGCUAUUCCGAAGGGCAUGCCUGUUUGAGUAUCAUGAACACCUCAACUCUCAUGGUUCGCCAUGAUGAGCUUGGACUUUGGGGGUCUUGCUGGCGUAACUGCCAGCUCCUCUCAAAUGGAUCAGCUUCCCAGUGUUUGGUGGCGUCACAGGUGUGAUAACUAUCUACGCUUGUGGUCCUUCCAUCAGGUUACCUUCAGUAAUGGAGGUUCACUGGAGCUCACAGACGUCUCUCCUCAGGGAGGACAAGCUUCUUAACGUUUGAUCUCAAAUCAGGUAGGACUACCCGCUGAACUUAA
rnacentral:misc_RNA from 2 species